GGCGGACGGGUGAGUAAUGCGUAGGAACUUGCCUACUAGAGAGGGAUAACUUAGGGAAACUUAAGCUAAUACCUCAUAAUGUCUAAGGAUUAAAGCAUGGGACCUUCGGGCCAUGCACUAGUAGAUAGGCCUGCGUUGGAUUAGCUUGUUGGUGGGGUAAAGGCCUACCAAGGCGAUGAUCCAUAGCUGUUCUGAGAGGAUGAUCAGCCACACUGGGACUGAGACACGGCCCAGACUCC
rnacentral:rRNA from 1 species